GAUGAACGCUAGCGGCAGGCCUAACACAUGCAAGUCGAGGGGCAUCGCGGUGCAGCAAUGCACUGGCGGCGACCGGCGUACGGGUGCGUAACGCGUAUGCAACCUGCCCCGCACCGGGGGAUAGCCCGCCGAAAGGCGGAUUAAUACCCCAUGGUCCCGGGGGCCCGCAUGGGCAUCCGGGUAAAGCCUUGGCGGUGCGGGAUGGGCAUGCGUGCCAUUAGCUGGCUGGUGGGGUAACGGCCCACCAGGGCAACGAUGGCUAGGGGGUCUGAGAGGAUGGUCCCCCACACUGGUACUGAGACACGGACCAGACUCCUACGGGAGGCAGCAGUGAGGAAUGUUGGUCAAUGGGCGGAAGCCUGAACCAGCCAUGCCGCGUGCGGGAUGAAGGCCCUACGGGUUGUAAACCGCUUUUCCCCGGGAAGAAUAACCCCGAUGAGUCGGGGGAUGCCGGUACCGGGGGAAUAAGGAUCGGCUAACUCCGUG
rnacentral:rRNA from 1 species